UACGGAGGGUGCUAGCGUUGUUCGGAAUUACUGGGCGUAAAGGGCGCGUAGGCGGCCGUUUGCGUCGGAUGUGAAAGCCCGGGGCUCAACCCCGGAACGGCAUCCGAUACGGGACGGCUGGAGACCGGGAGAGGAGGGUGGAAUAGCCAGUGUAGAGGUGAAAUUCGUAGAUAUUGGCUGGAACACCGGUGGCGAAAGCGGCUCUCUGGACCAGCACUGACACUGAGGCACGAAAGCGUGGGGAGCAAACAGG
rnacentral:rRNA from 1 species